rnacentral:rRNA from 1 species
CGUGCAUCAGUGUCAGUAUAUUUGCAGCAGAAUGCCUUCGCAAUCGGUGUUCCUUCUGGUAUCUAUGCAUUUCACCGCUACACCAGAAAUUCCAUCUGCCUUCUAAUAACUCAAGUCAACCAGUAUCGACAGCAUGUAAAACAGUUGAGCUGCUACCUUUAACCAUCGACUUAAUUGACCACCUACGCACCCUUUAAACCCAAUAAAUCCGGAUAACGCUUGCCACCUACGUAUUACCGCGGCUGCUGGCACGUAGUUAGCCGUGGCUUAUUCUAUUGGUACCGUCAAAAUAGCUCGCAAGCUACACUUUCUUCCCAAUCAAAAGCAGUUUACAACCCAGAGGGCCGUCUUCCUGCACGCGGCAUGGCUGGUUCAGACUCUCGUCCAUUGACCAAUAUUCCCUACUGCUGCCUCCCGUAGGAGUCUGGUCCGUAUCUCAGUACCAGUGUGGGGGUUACUCCUCUCAGAGCCCCUAAGGAUCGUAGCCUUGGUGAGCCGUUACCUCUCCAACUAGCUAAUCCUACGCAUGCCCAUCUCUAUCCAAUAAAUCUUUUAAUACAAAAUCAUGUGAUCCCAUAUAUUAUGCGGUAUUAAUCCAAAUUUCUCUGGGCUAUCCCCCUGAUAAAGGUAGGUUGCAUACGCGUUACGCACCCGUUCGCCGGUCUCUUAGUUUGCAAGCAAUCUAAUACCCCUCGACUUGCAUGUAUUAAGCCUGCCGCUAGCGUUCAUCCUGAGCCUAGGAUCAAACUCU